rnacentral:rRNA from 1 species
AUUAUAGGAGUUCUCGGAUGAGUUUCUUUCGAAAUUUUAUUUUGAUUCUCAAGCUCUUUUGGAUAUAAAAGUCCUUCUAUGGAAGAACAGAUAUAUAAUAAUGAUAUAUUUUAUGUUUAUAUCGUAGGUUCCUCUCCUGUACAAGGAAUUUUAUGCCCGAAAGCUAAAGAGAAAAUCUGGUAAUGAAAAUUUUGAAAAGAAACAAUUCCCGGGGAUAUUUUCAACCCAAUUUGAUGCAUUGGAUUAAUUUAACAGGUAUACUUAUGUGUAUAAGUUCUACAAGUAGUAUUUUCAGAAAGGCAAUGUGCGUAGAAUUGAUCGUUCAUAUAUCCACAUAGGUGCAAAUUCUUACAUGUAUAGUAUUGUUGAUAAAGAAUUGACUAACGUGGCAACGGCACCCAUUUUCCAAUGAAGAGCAAUAGACCAAGAACAGCAGCGUUGCACACCCAAGAUAGUGGACAUUGCUGCUGCUGUGAUAGAGAUGUAUGGAGACAUCUGAAGCUCUUCAUUGGACACAACAACAACAACAAUUAGAGCCUGUUUAGAAAUAUAUUCAACUAAUGUUCCGAAAAUCCUAAUUGUAGAACAAAUAGACCCAUUAGGUAUAAACUAAAGUGUUCAACAUAGAACGUGAAAUAUGGUCAAAGAGUUUUUCAGAGAAAAAGAAAGUAAAAAUUAAAUUAUCCCUAUUAUAUUUUAUAGACGGCAUCUGAAAUCUAUAAUGAGGACAUUUCUUGUUUUUAGUAUUUUCCUGGUUUCGCACCAAAUACGUAAUUUGCUUGGAAUAAAUUCCCUGGCGUUGCUGGACUUUACCUAUUCCCUCGUCUGUUCCCCUCCGGGAUACCAAAGGUUUUGGGUUCCGGGGGAAGUAUGGUUGCAAAGCUGAAACUUAAAGGAAUUGACGGAAGGGCACCACCAGGAGUGGAGCCUGCGGCUUAAUUUGACUCAACACGGGAAAACUCACCCGGCCCGGACACCGGAAGGAUUGACAGAUUGAUAGCUCUUUCUUGAUUCGGUGGGUGGUGGUGCAUGGCCGUUCUUAGUUGGUGGAGCGAUUUGUCUGGUUAAUUCCGAUAACGAACGAGACUCUAGCCUACUAAAUAGACCCACGGUCCUUUGUACCGUGAGCGGGUCUUCUUAGAGGGACAGGCGGCUUUUAGCCGCACGAAACAGAGCAAUAACAGGUCUGUGAUGCCCUUAGAUGUCCGGGGCCGCACGCGCGCUACACUGAAGGAAUCAGCAUGUGUCUACCCUUGUCCGAAAGGACCGGGUAACCCUCUGAACCUCCUUCGUGAUGGGGAUAGGGGAUUGUAAUUAUUCCCCUCGAACGAGGAAUUCCCAGUAAGCGCGAGUCAUCAGCUCGCGUUGAUUACGUCCCUGCCCUUUGUGCACACCGCCCGUCGCUACUACCGAUUGAAUGGUUUAGUGAGGUCUUCGGACUGGUUCAUUGAUCAGUUUCGGCUGUUAUUUGAGCCGGGAAGAUGAUCAAACUUGGCCAUUUAGAGGAAGUAAAAGUCGUAACAAGGUUGCCGUAGGUGAACCUGCGGCAG